rnacentral:lncRNA from 1 species
AUAUGGUGCUCCAUGUGGCCUCAAGGAGGAAAGGGGGAGUGGAGGAAAGCAAUCUAUGGCUCCAGUUUGUUUUGGUUUUGUGUCCUAAAUUAGUCUAAUGCUUAAAAUAUUUUAUUCACUACAUCAGAGGAUCAGCUCUGUUUUCUGAUUGUUCCCACAGGAUUCAGUGUGGCCCAGAAAGUGACUCAAGUCCGGCCAGUCACAUCUGGUCAGGAGGGAGGAGCAGUCACCCUGGACUGUUUGUAUGAAAUGAGUUGGAUGUGGAGUGCAGACGCUUUAUUUGGUACAAAGAACUUCCCAGUGGAAAGAUGAUGCUCCUUAUUCGUCAGAGCUCUUCUGGUGCAAAUAGAAGAGAAGGUCGCUAUUCUGUCCAGUUCAGGAGAGCAGAUAAAUCCAUCAAGCUUACCAUUUCACCCUUACAGCAGGAAGACUCAGCAAAGUAUUUCUGUGCUCUGAGAGAACUCACAGUGUUUAAAUUG